GAACGCAUGGCUUAGUGGUCAGAACGCUUGGACGGUUUCCAAGAAGCGUGGUUUCAAACCCUACUACGUUCA
rnacentral:tRNA from 1 species